rnacentral:rRNA from 1 species
CCUACGGGAGGCAGCAGUGAGGAAUAUUGGGCAAUGGACGAGAGUCUGAACCAGCCAAGUAGCGUGAAGGAUGACUGCCCUAUGGGGUGUAAACUUCUGUUAUAGGGGAAUAAAAUGAGCCACGUGUGGGAUUGUGUAUGGACCAUAUGAAUAAGGAUCGGCUAACGCCGUGCCAGCAGCCGCGGUAAUACGGAGGAUCCGAGCGUUAUCCGGAGUUAUUGGGUUUAAAGGGAGCGUAGGUGGAUUGUUAAGUCAGUUGUGAAAGUUUGCGGCUCCACCGUAAAAUUGCAGUUGAAACUGGCAGUCUUUAGUACCGUAGCGGUGGGCGGCAUUCGUGGUGUAGCGGU